CCUACGGGGGGCAGCAGUGGGGAAUAUUCCACAAUGGGGGAAACCCUGAUGCAGCGACGCCGCGUGAGUGAAGAAGUAUUUCGGUACGUAAAGCUCUAUCAGCAGGGAAGAAAAUGACGGUACCUGACUAAGAAGCCCCGGCUAACUACGUGCCAGCAGCCGCGGUAAUACGUAGGGGGCAAGCGUUAUCCGGAUUUACUGGGUGUAAAGGGAGCGUAGACGGCAGCGCAAGUCUGGAGUGAAAUCCCAUGGCUUAACCAUGGAACUGCUUUGGAAACUGUGCAGCUAGAGUGCAGGAGAGGUAAGCGGAAUUCCUAGUGUAGCGGUGAAAUGCGUAGAUAUUAGGAGGAACACCAGUGGCGAAGGCGGCUUACUGGACUGUAACUGACGUUGAGGCUCGAAAGCGUGGGGAGCAAACAGGAUUAGAUACCCGAGUAGUC
rnacentral:rRNA from 1 species